rnacentral:tRNA from 1 species
UCAUUGUUGGCGCAGCAGGCAGCGCGUCAGUCUCAUGGUCUGAAAGUCGUGAGUUAGAUCCUCACACAGGGCA